rnacentral:tmRNA from 1 species
GGGGACGUUACGGCUUCGACAGGGAUAGGUUGAGCUUUAGCUGCGAGCCGAGAGGCAGCUCGUAAAAAUGCCACGCCAAUAAUAACUGGCAAAAACAACGAAAACCUCGCAGUAGCAGCGUAACAACUGCUCAUGCGGAUCCCGCAUUCCAUCGCCCGCGUGGAAUGAUUUGGGGUCUCACUCUUAGUGGGCUACGCAGUUCGCCCUCCGUCUGAGGGCGGCUGAAGAGACUAAUCAGACUAGCCGUACGAAAGCCUGUUGCUAGGCUGACGUACUGGCGAAUGAUAAUAUAGCGACUACGCUCGUAGAUGCUAAAGUGGCAAUAUCUCUGGACGUGGGUUCGAAUCCCACCGUCUCCACCA